rnacentral:rRNA from 1 species
AACGAACGCUGGCGGCAGGCUUAACACAUGCAAGUCGAACGCCCCGCAAGGGGAGUGGCAGACGGGUGAGUAACGCGUGGGAAUCUACCCAGUUCUACGGAACAACACAGGGAAACUUGUGCUAAUACCGUAUACGCCCCAAGGGGGAAAGAUUUAUCGGAAUUGGAUGAGCCCGCGUUGGAUUAGCUAGUUGGUGAGGUAAUGGCUCACCAAGGCGACGAUCCAUAGCUGGUCUGAGAGGAUGAUCAGCCACACUGGGACUGAGACACGGCCCAGACUCCUACGGGAGGCAGCAGUGGGGAAUAUUGGACAAUGGGCGCAAGCCUGAUCCAGCCAUGCCGCGUGAGUGAUGAAGGCCUUAGGGUUGUAAAGCUCUUUCAGUGGGGAAGAUAAUGACGGUAACCGGAGAAGAAGCCCCGGCUAACUUCGUG